GGACUACCAGGGUAUCUAAUCCUGUUUGCUCCCCACGCUCUCGCGCCUCAGCGUCAGUAUUUGUCCAGGUAGCCGCCUUCGCCACUGGUGUUCCUUCCGAUCUCUACGCAUUUCACCGCUACACCGGAAAUUCCACUACCCUCUACAAUACUCUAGCCUACCAGUAUAAGAUGCCGUUCCUAGGUUAAGCCCAGGGCUUUCACAUCUCACUUAAUAAACCGCCUACGCGCCCUUUACGCCCAGUAACUCCGAUUAACGCUUGCACCCUCUGUAUUACCGCGGCGGCUGGCAC
rnacentral:rRNA from 2 species